GGUUCCUUGCUGGUUGUUGACGUCACUACGCUCACACAGAGGUGGGGUUUGUGUUUUUACAACGUCUCGCUGAUGAGCUAUUGACACUGCAUGAAAAGAGGGAUUUUCGGCAGUAUGCGGCACUGUAAAUUGUCGUGGAAUUUCAGGUUUGCGGCAAUUUGCGGGCAACGCCGAAAACUGCCGUAAAUUGUCAGAAAUUGAUGUGGGCCUCCCUUGGCAGUUGUCCCCCCAUGAUCCCCCUCCUCCUAAUUCUAGGGGAGGCUUUGACAUGUAAAUGAAAAUGCUGUGAGCUAUACAAAUGCAAAUCAGGGUCGUAGAGGGAGUUUUAGCCCAGGUGACAUUUUUUUAAAAGGUAAGAAAAUCUCUGGUACAAAUAGAUCAGGCUCAGUUGCCUAAUUAUAGACUCUUACAUUUUAGCUUGAAUUGAUUUAUUUAAUUCAAAUAUGCUAGAUUACUGUGUAUGCCAUUAGCAAUGGCAAAUGUUAUGUAAAAAAGAUACACAAAAUAACUUCUUUAAAAAAUGAGUUUUAAUCAAGGUAAAAUGAGCAUUCCAAGCAAACAACAUUUGAAUCAGCAUGAGGGGUCUGCAGAGAUCACAGUCUCCUAGAGCUCAACUACAGUGCAUAGUGGCAGGACUACAGUGACCUUUUCUUUGGUCUUACUUAAAUGCACAGAGGAUGUAUUAACCACACAUCUUCUAGCAAUGCGCUCAACUGGCAGAAAUGAUGCUGGGUAUGAGGUGUCUGUUCCCUGCAAGCCCCAAACUUCUAUUGGCUUUCCAUAAAAAUGUCUGUCCGGGUGGGGAUGAAGCCAGGAAACUUGUGCAAGAACAUGUUUAAAUGCCGUACCCUUUGACACAACAUUAACAACUAUAAACUGCUUUAUAAUGGCUGGUCGUAGUUCUGCUAGAGGGUCAAGGACGGGUUCCCCAAAACUGUUAGUGUUUCCACACCACUUAGCAUGAACAUAUGCUGACCUUUAUGCUCUGCAUCUAUCGAUUGCGUAAGUUACAUUCAUAUAUGUUACCCGUUUACAUGUCAUGGCAAAACAUUCAACCUCAGUGACACAAGGGUACAUCUGAUGAUACAUUACCAACAUUGCAUGUCUGUCAGACUCAAGAUUGUCUGGUGGAAUGGAGAAAGAGGCACCACUGUACAGUUUUCUAGGGAAAGUCGUUCCGCUGACACCAAAACAUUGCUUUACAUAAAGCAUAUCAGCUGUUUCAUUGCACGACAAAGUCCCAACCAUUUGUCUUCCUAAAAUACUGGUCCUUCCGUAUAACAAUAACCUCGUAUGUGAUUGGAGGACCCUUAGACCCCUCGUCCAAUCACGUGUGAGGUCAUAGGCAUGACUGAUACAGCAGUACUUGCAAGACGAGCAUACAAACAGACACGCGUGUGUUACUAUAUUCAGAAGAACUGUAUCUCCAGUUCCUUUGUUUGGUUUUUGCUGGUUCGUGAAUAAUGGCUGGACGACGUCUCGCGUUCAACUCGCCUUCAACUCCUCUCCGCGGUCACCAACUUUCGGCCAGUCCGCAGACAGACGAGAAGAAACUGCUGAAUGCUCUCAGUGGAUUGUCUCGUCAACUCCAACAACAAACUGCCGAUAUCAACGAGCGGUUCGCUCCACUGGAGCGUUCGGGACUCUCCAGGUCUCUGUCCAUAGAGAACAGGAUGGCGGCUCUGGAGGAACUGACUCAAAGAAGAGGAGACGGGCGCACAAUCCCAAGAUAGCGGUAAGAAUACGUUCGAUGACUGCAAGCUAAGCUAAAAGUAGCGUAGCCUCAAACGAAAGCUAAGAGUAGCCUAGUAGCCUUACAAGUGAGCAGAAACUGCUUAAUUAAAGGGUAUUUUCUUUGCCGUGUCGUUUACAGGAAGCGGUGCGCCGUCUUCACAACUCCGAGACGAAUUACAGGCGCCACAAACCGGAGCAAGGCCGCCUGUGAGACGUAUUUUGAGACGGUACGCAGGAGCUUUAGGUUUUCCAGCCGGACACUCAUUGCGGGCGGAAGCUGCGAAGGAUUCAGCGCGGAGUCAAGCGAGAAGAAAGAGGCUGCUGGAAUCGAGACAAAGUGUGCUGGCUGAUGACUCGGUGGAGCUCUGGAAAUCCGCCACCGUAGAGCUCACGUCGGACGGAGAGGAUGGCGUUGUUGGCGGGGUCUCGGGGUGGAUUGUACGGUCGCCCCGCACACCAGGCGCCUGCACAACAGACCUGCCUCGGAAAACACGCCGCCAAUGACGGUCUACAACCCCGAGGAGGCAAACGGACAGUUUACUGAGCUGUAGUUUUUUAAACCGCCUUUACCCAAGUGUGGGCAGAUCCUCACUUUGUAUGUAGUUGUUGUUGUUUGUAUGUUGUUAAUAAAGCUCUUUCUUUGCAUAAACAUGUGGCAAAUGUUCAUUUUCUCUAUAAAUACAUUGAUGUCCUGGUUGGUAUCCUAAUAAUAGUGUAGUAGCCUACAUAGGAUAACCAUGAAAUGAAUAUACAGCAUAAUAUGAAUAUAUAAAUAUAUAUAAAUAAAAUGAGGCGGGUGACCAAUAGCGACAGAUCUGCCAACCAAUCACGAGUGAUUGAAAGUUGUGGUUUCAUCCAAUCAUGAACAAGGAAACUCAAGCCUGGUCUGCCCAGGUGUGGUUUUGCUGCCAAUCACGAGUGAUUUUAUUUGUUUGUAAGUUGUGGUUUCAUCCAAUAAGGAGUAAGGAUAUUCAAGCCCGCUCGGCUCGGCCACCCGCGGUUUCGCUGCAUUCAUAUGCUAAUUCGGGCCAUUCGCACCUCCGCCAGCUCUGCACAUACGUCAUGGUUGGUUUCCGACAAUUUGUGGCACAGACAAACGCGACGUGCGCGGGUUGCAAAUUGUCGGAAAUUAGGGAGAUUUCCGGGCGUUUACGGGGACGAAAAUCUCACUUUUCAUGGAGUGUGAAUGAACCAGGAAGCCUGUGAAUAUCUUGCCAAACUUUACCGAACUGUAAAAGUUUCGGACACUUGCAACCACUCACUCCACACCUCAAAACAAACAGGGAGGAAUGUCUGAUGUAGACGUCCACUUUUAGCGGAGUCUAAAAUAUCUUCGGUAUUUCAGAGUCUGAGAUAAAUCACUUUUUCCUGAAAAGGCCAUAUUUCUGAAUUUGGUAAGUCCCAAAAAUGAACAACUGUGAACAUUAUUUUCUUCUGUAUUUAAAUAGGAAUCACAACCCCAAAAUAGAAAUGAGACACUGUGGAGAAUAGCUUUGAACUUGGUUCAGAUCUAUACUUGCUAAUGUAGUAAGUAAAUGUAAUCAAUAAUUGAUUAUUGGAAAAUGCUGUGCAUAGAUCAAACAAGAAAAGGUUGACUCUCAGUUCAGAAACAAAGUCAGGUAUUCUGGAAAAGGUAGCAGAAGAUAGUCCAAAAGUCCAAAGCUCCAGAAGAUUCAUUGCCAGAAAAAAAAGUUAAGACACCUGGGAGAGGAGAGGUCAACUACAUACCUCAAAAUACCAACUGGAGAGACCCCAGACAAAUUAGAAGAGGAGACUGUCACUUUUACAAGUCUUUAUUUCUAUUAUGUAAACAACAUCAAACAUUGACUGUGACAAAAAAAAAUUCAGUUUCAUCUUGUAUGGACAUUCUACUUUUCUAUCACAGAAAAGGUUUGUUGUGACAUUUUAUUUAAAAUAAAGCAAAAUAUAGAAUUGUAUUGGACUACUGUCUUUGCAUGUCAGAAGAACAUUUAUAAAUUAAGGUGUAAUUUAAAAAUUUAGUUUGCAUUGAAUGAGAAAUCUAACUUGAUGAAAGCUGAUGAAUUUGCCUGUAACAAAAUUAUAAAAUUUAGUUUGCAUUGAAUGAGAAAAUUUCACUUGAUGAAAGCUGAGAAAUUUGCAUUUUAGGGCAUUAGGGCAUUUUAACUACACUAAAGUAAAAACCUUGACAUCGGAAUAUUAAAUACUAGGUUUUUCCAAAAUGAAAAAAUCAAGUGGUAACAAAGCUAAAACGGUGUACGGUUGUAUCUUUUUACUUUGCAUAAAAGUACAUUUUUAUCUUGGGUAAAAUAAAUAUUUAUUAUUCAUAUUAAAUUAAAAUUUUAGGUUUAAACCAAAUACAAAGUAUCAUUUUAUUAAGUAUCAGUGUGGUUCUCCUUGCCCUUCUCACCUGCAGAACAUCCCCUCGUCAGCCAUUCACGAUUUAAGCCUGUUGUUCUGUUGUUCCCUGCCAGAUUGGCUUGUGUAUAUGCCAAGUUUUCCAGCGUUUCUAAAUUAGCUUGAUUUCCUUCUUUUCUGACCUAGCCUGCCUUUUUGACCAUGGAUUCCCUGCCUGCCCCCCUGGAUUUGGUUGUCUGAUUCCCAGCCUGGUUCUGACCCUGCCUGUUUCUUCUUGGCUUGCCCCUCUGGAUUUGUUUGCCUACUGACGGAUCCCCCGGUUUUGACCUGGCCUAAACUUAGUAAAAUCUAGCCUGAGUCGUGCUUUUGGGUUCCUUUGUGCACCGGUACCAGUAACCGUUACAGCUGCCAACUAAAGGUACAUCUCUUCAGAGUAUACCUUGACUAAAAAGACUAACAAAUUGUAUCACUUAAAUUGUACUUAUAAUGGCUUUUCUAUAGCAAGUUGUAAAUUGGCUCAUUUAAUGAACUUGCACAUUCUUGUUUCUUGUUGUUUUGAGUUUCUAUCUUUAUGGUUGAAAUGCACUUAUUCUUUUGCUGUGGAUAAAAGGGUCAGCUAAAUGACAUGUAAUAUAUAAAGGUAUCAAACAUGCAUUAAUACUUUGCAGUUAAAUAUUAAACAUUUAUUCAGUUUAACAGUGUGUUUAACAUAAUAAGGAUCUCUUAUUCAUACAAUUCCAUAUAUAUAUAUAUAUAUAUAUAUAUAUACACACACACACACACGGAAUCUACAUGAACCUAGUUUGUUGGGGAAACUGUGUGUGUGUGUGUGUGACAGACCAACUCAAAAGCCCUACAAAACACACACAAUUAAUUAUUUGGGAUAAAAUGUCCCUGUUUUCAUCUACGUCCACGUUAUGGUUCCUCCUAAUUUUUCCGUCGCAGCUGAAUACCUAUGUUGACUUUCCCUAACUGAGUUAUCACUGCGGUCAAGCCAGCCUCCACUUUGAAAAACACAGUCGAUCCAUCUUGCACGUUAUUUCAAGGUACGCCUAUAUACUAAAGAUUACGGUAGUGGUAUUAUCCGUGUGCGUCCUGGUGUUCUCUAUCGUUUUCUUGGUUUUCCAAUAAGUGCUUCAUGUCCCUUACUCAUGUAUCUGUCCAUGCUGGAUUCUGUCCCCGUUGAUUUAAAAAGGGAGCAUGGGAAGCUAAACACGGCGCUAGCAUGACUUCAUCCGGCUAGCUAAAUAUUCUGGGUGUAGCAGUCUCUACAGAAUCUUCAUAUGUGCGGCUUCUGUUCCACGCCAGUGCGCUGUUUGAUUGUGAGGUCAGGCUGAUCUUGGUCCAGUUCUUUUAGCUCUAGUUUUCCCGGAAAAGUUUUUCUCUCAAAUGGGUCAGACAUGGAGAGGAGGUGCAGGAAAAGCAUAUAUUGCGCAGAUAUCUUAAUUUACAAAUAUUGCUGGGUACAUUCCAUGUUUCAAAAACAAAUACACAAAUAUUGACUAUUUGUAAAAUGUAUUUAAUAUAAUUAAAAAAAAUCUUUUUUGUGGCUCGAGGUGGGGCCAUGGCCCUCUAUGGGGCAGCCGUUACAGAUCAGAUAUGAGUGAAGUACAGAGAGCAUGUGGAGACCAUCCAGACUUUUUAUCAACCAUAGGUCUCAGUCACAUCCCCUUUGAUUGUGUGUGAUAUAAAAGCUAUUAAAUAACCGAUGUUAGGCUGGCUGCAUUGAAGUGUGGAAACAUAUGGGUAGACUGCUGAGACUAUUUUGCCCGUUCCUAUUGGAAAGUUACUUAAUAAUUCUUAGGCUCAGUAGAGUGCAGCAUGAUUUGCUGUCAGUCAACAAAAAAUUGAUCAGUCCAUUUAGGUAAGUCUGAUGAUGAAGAAUGACAGUCCCUAAAACGGUCAGUCAGGAAGAACUGACAUUGCUUUCACCUUUUUGUUUACAUCUGAAUACAACUGAAUUACAGGUGAAAGCAACCUUUGUAACAAUAUAUGACAAAUCAUGCCCUGGAAACUAAAUGGAUUAUACCCAACAAUAAGAGUGUCUUUAAACAGACAUUGAAGGAAUAAUAAUGAAACAGCUGACGCAGCAACUUUCCAGAGUGCACCUGCCAUGUUCCAUCGAUGUGCCUGCCUUCGUUGUUGCCUUGGCAUCUGGUUGCUACGGCCACCCGCAGCCUGGCACUUAUCCACCGCUCUGAUCAGGAUUGGCACUCGUUGAUGACAUCAUCAUUACCCAUCAGUCAGCCCUGCUGUUACGAUGAGUGUCCUUCUAUAUGCCACUCUUGCCGCAAUGCAAUUGUGGGAGGGUGAAGGGGGAUGUUUCAGGUUCCAAUAUAGUGCUGGAUGAAAAAGGUGAGCAAUUGUUUUUUUAAUUAUUGGUGGAUUUAGCCAGAGCCAGAUUUGGGUGUGAGGCCUUGCUGGUGAUCCUGCUGACGGCAUUAAGCCAAUCGGACAUUACAUAAAAACUAUACCCAAAACAAGAAAGUGAUAUUAUUGUAUUUCUCAUGAACAUCAACAGCAACCGUUCCUUUUCUUUGCAACUCGUGAGACCUUGAUAAGCAGAAUCUCUACUUCGACUACUUGAGGUUUGCGCAACUGAGAAUAAGCUGGUUGCACUGAAAAAAUGUUUCUUUGCUAUUUUUGUCAGAACAGAUAUUAUAAGCACUUCUGGCUAAUAAAACAAGGAAGGAUUUCAUAGUACAGAAAUUCUUUUAUCCAUACUUAAUUUACGAUACUCUGCAAUACUGUGAACUUCUGUUUGACAUAACUCUCUUGAUCACUAAAGAUGUUCUUUAUUUACAUAUGUUGUAUUAUUGACACUGUCCUUGCAUUGUUCAAUGCAUAUUUCAAUAUUUGUUAUUGGAAUAUGUAUUCCAAACAAUCUGCACAUUUGCCCUCUUCUUCUUCAGUAUAAUCUUCUCAACCCAAUUACCUCAAAGGGAUCAUUGACUUCCGAUCUUAUCAAAUAUAAUUAUUGUUUAUUUGCUGUGAAAAAUGUGAAAGUUGUGCAGAAGCACAGAGCAGCUGGCUUCCAUUCAUUCUAACCUCUCCAGAUAAUAUUGUCCCUUCCACUUGUUUCUGUCAACGGAGAUUUGGUGAGUGAAUAACUGUCAUGUGGUUUAUUCUACGUGGAGCUUGUAUAAAUGACGCUGAAAAGUUACAAAGUUUGUAAUUGCAGGUUAUGAGCAGCAUUUAGAGCAGAGGGAGACAGACGGACAAAGAGAGAGAGCCAGAGACAAAGUGAGGUGUAGGCCAGGGACAGACUUGAUGGGAUUUUAGAAAUCUAUGAGGCUGAUGAUGAAUGUCUGAAAUAGGUUUGUCUGCCCAUUGAAAAGCCAUUUGUUUUCAUUAGCUCCCAAUGCUGGGGUAAGUCUGCAGUGAGGGAAAGGGGUGGGUGGCUGGAGCUUAUGGUCAUUAUGGGAUGGAUCUUGCUAGCUGAAGGAAUUAGCCCAAAGCUAUGUUGGCCAAGUGACUUGAAGUGGGUGACGCAUGACCAUCUUUGGCUCCAUGUACAAACAACAAGCAAGACUGUCCUCGCCAGAAAAAGCAAUGCGCAAAUUGAUUGACGGUUUGAAUAUCAAACAAUCUAUGUGUAUGUAUUUUUUCCCAAUUGUGGCUUGUGGCUCUUCAAUGUCUGACUCCCAAAAUAAAAGAUAGAAGUACAGGGACUGAGUGGCUCCAAGCCUUGUGGUCCAUACAAAGCAGCUCUGACACAAGAAACUGCUAUUCCAUCAUGUUCUAUACAAACUGUCAAAGUGUUUUUUUACACCAUGACAGAAUCUUCGCUUAACCCUAACCUAAGUAUUUUAUCAACCUAAACAACUGUAUUUCACUGAUUUGGGAGAAUUUUAACAGUAUGCUUCAGAGCAGUGGGCCAUGCCAUUUUUCCAAAAAAAACUAUUAGUCCGAAAAUGUCCGAGGGCCCCAAAAAAACAUUUAUAUUUUACGGUUAGAGGACUAUAAGCAUUCGUGAUGCUUUCCAGGUGACUUUUAGUAGUGCACAAGAGGCUACUUUUAGCCUGUUGAGGCCAAAAUGAAGAUUAUAACAAACACAAAAUGAUAUUGAUUAAAAAAAACACCUGCCAACAAAAAAAACAAUUUAAAAAAGACAAUUUAUUCCACCUAUUAAAACUUGUUAACAUAUGUAAUUAUUUUCUGAAUGAUCUUUUCUUACCUGUUCUCUUUAGAUCAGAUGUAGUAAAUAGAUGUAAUAAAAAAAUAUUUUUUCACGUUCAUGGCUUCCAUACAAAGCACAUCAGAACAUUGUGAGGAUUGAUUUUGCAUUCAUCCUUCGAGUUUCGGAAUGCUCUUAUGAUUUUUUUUAUGAGAUAAUCUAAAAGAAAAAAAAAAGUUUGUUGCAUACACAAUCAAGCUAACGUGGUGUAUGAUAAUAUUGCAGUAGAUGUAUGUUGAUAAGGGUGCUUGUGCGUGUGUGUUGAGAGACAGAGAUCAAGACUGCAUUGAAACCCAACUGUAACUCUUGACUUCUGGUACAUGCAGUGUAUAACGAAUGAUAUUAUAUGAGUGAAGCCUUAGAAUCAAAUUCCCGCUGGGGUGACACAUGCAGUAUUCACCUUUCAAUACAUCUACACAUCUAUCUAUCAAAGAUGAUGUAACAUCUCUUAUAAUAUAGCGAGAUCUGUAAGUAGGCAAAACGAACAGCUCUGGAUUGGCUUUUCCUUGGUCUGAAAGGGUUUGUUCAUGCGGAGCUGAGAGUGGCCAGGAUCAAUAAGAGAGAAAAAUAGGAAAAUGACAUGGCUUUCUCCAGAUGAAAGAUCUAAUCUCCAAUAUCCAUUUACAGCUCAGGGCCCUGCACUAAGGCAGCAAGACAGCAACGCAGUUACAGCAAAAAAAACACCCCACCGAUUUCAUGUCCAGAUCGUUGUCCUGACACUCCCUCCUUAACAAUCAUGGUGAUUCUGAGGCAAUGUGCUUAGAGCGAGUUUCUACAUUUGCUGUUGAUGCUUUCUUGUGUGCGUGUGUGUGUGUGUAUAUAUAUAUAUACAUAUACUCCCACUUUUGUGUAUAUGUAUGAAUAUAUAUGUAUGUGUGUGUAUGUAUGUGUG
ensembl:lncRNA